AUAUAUAUAUACAUAUAUAUACUUAAAUUGGAAUAAUACAGAGAAGAUGUGCAUGGCUUCUAUAUAAGGAUGAUAUGUAAACUUGUGAAAUGUUUCAGGGAGAA
rfam:Dipodomys ordii contig_13450, whole genome shotgun sequence.